ACAGCAUUAGUUUGAGUGAAUCUGCGAACUUCCUGCGUCUUCUAGAAGUACCUGCACAGCUACAGGUGGACGUUUCUGCUCACUUACCGCUUCUGUCUCUGCGCAGUUUUCCUCCAAGCGCGCACUGACAGCCAGAAGACUCCAAACUCCAAAAGGCGCAGCCGCUGCGCUCGGAGAUUCCCCACAUCCAGCCCACAGCUGCACCACCCUCUCCACUGUCUUUUACUGAGUAUCAGAGCAGGAAGAGUUAC
rnacentral:lncRNA from 1 species